UACGGAGGGGGCUAGCGUUGUUCGGAAUUACUGGGCGUAAAGCGCACGUAGGCGGCUUUGUAAGUUAGAGGUGAAAGCCCGGGGCUCAACUCCGGAAUUGCCUUUAAGACUGCAUCGCUCGAAUUGUGGAGAGGUAAGUGGAAUUCCGAGUGUAGAGGUGAAAUUCGUAGAUAUUAGGAAGAACACCAGUGGCGAAGGCGGCUCACUGGCCCGGUACUGACGCUGAGGCGCGAAAGCGUGGGGAGCAAACAGG
rnacentral:rRNA from 1 species